rnacentral:rRNA from 1 species
GUUAAGCGACUAAGCGUACACGGUGGAUGCCCUGGCAGUCAGAGGCGAUGAAGGACGUGCUAAUCUGCGAUAAGCGUCGGUAAGGUGAUAUGAACCGUUAUAACCGGCGAUUUCCGAAUGGGGAAACCCAGUGUGUUUCGACACACUAUCAUUAACUGAAUCCAUAGGUUAAUGAGGCGAACCGGGGGAACUGAAACAUCUAAGUACCCCGAGGAAAAGAAAUCAACCGAGAUUCCCCCAGUAGCGGCGAGCGAACGGGGAGCAGCCCAGAGCCUGAAUCAGUGUGUGUGUUAGUGGAAGCGUCUGGAAAGGCGCGCGAUACAGGGUGACAGCCCCGUACACAAAAAUGCACAUGCUGUGAGCUCGAUGAGUAGGGCGGGACACGUGGUAUCCUGUCUGAAUAUGGGGGGACCAUCCUCCAAGGCUAAAUACUCCUGACUGACCGAUAGUGAACCAGUACCGUGAGGGAAAGGCGAAAAGAACCCCGGCGAGGGGAGUGAAAAAGAACCUGAAACCGUGUACGUACAAGCAGUGGGAGCACGCUUAGGCGUGUGACUGCGUACCUUUUGUAUAAUGGGUCAGCGACUUAUAUUCUGUAGCAAGGUUAACCGAAUAGGGGAGCCGAAGGGAAACCGAGUCUUAACUGGGCGUUAAGUUGCAGGGUAUAGACCCGAAACCCGGUGAUCUAGCCAUGGGCAGGUUGAAGGUUGGGUAACACUAACUGGAGGACCGAACCGACUAAUGUUGAAAAAUUAGCGGAUGACUUGUGGCUGGGGGUGAAAGGCCAAUCAAACCGGGAGAUAGCUGGUUCUCCCCGAAAGCUAUUUAGGUAGCGCCUCGUGAAUUCAUCUCCGGGGGUAGAGCACUGUUUCGGCAAGGGGGUCAUCCCGACUUACCAACCCGAUGCAAACUGCGAAUACCGGAGAAUGUUAUCACGGGAGACACACGGCGGGUGCUAACGUCCGUCGUGAAGAGGGAAACAACCCAGACCGCCAGCUAAGGUCCCAAAGUCAUGGUUAAGUGGGAAA